CCCAACAACUUAAGAAGUUUGCAUACUUGUACUCACAACUCACUCCUGUAAACCAUCCUGUAAUCAAUAAAAAGUUGUUCCUUUGUAUACAAUACUUGCAAUCAUCACUUGAAUCACACAAAACACUAUCUGUUGGGGCACAAAGCUUAACUUAAGCAAGUCUAAGUCGCAACACGUGAGUCAAAAGUUACUCCGUGAGACUAUGGUCGCAUUACAGCCCUGCUAUCAAGUAUCCAAAGCUAGUCUGCCGGAUUUUGGUAGCAAACAAAUGAGAACAAUGAGAAUGAAUGUUAACUAUAAAAGUAAGUGAAUCUAACAUAGCAUUCAAAUUAUGUGUCAACAAUAUCAUAAAUGACUUUUGUCACACUGAAAUUAUUUAAAUAUAAUGUAACUUAUUGUAACUAUCAGAUUGUGUAAGUUUAAAUGGCACAUAGUUUGCACAUUUCAUACGUGCUAAGACCAUGUGUAGUGGUACACAUGAAAAAUGCCCCCACCCAUGGGCGUUGUGCGACACAUGUCAGUCCAGUCAGCAAAGCGGCAUUAUAGGGAGUUUUUCAUAAAUGAGAGUAGUGGGAUAAUGCCCAAUCAAUGAUUACCCAAUUAUUAAUUUAAAAAAAAUAAAACUAAUAAAAUUUCAUUAAAUAAAAAAAAUUAUAUUGUUAAAAAAUAAAAACCUAAAAAAGACCUUUGUUCAUGAAAGACUAAAUACGGGCUAAUGGGCCUUGGGCCCAUCCCAUCUAAGAACCCUAGCUAUUUAACCCACUUUUCCCCUUCUCCUUUAUUUUGAAACCCUAGCCCCCAUCUUUCUUCUCUCUGCAGACAUAUCAAACACACAAAAAAAAACUUAUCAAUCAUCUCAACUCUCUGCUCUCUCUAAAUAAGAUCCGGUUUACCGGAGUUGGAGACCCGGCCGACUUCCGACGCCGUUUUCCAGCAGCACACUCACCCGCAAGACACCUCCAUGCACCAUUCUUCACCCACACUCAUCUGAAGGUGAUGACGUGGUAUUUACUUAGAUCCAACAUAAGCCAGCUACAACAAUUACUAAACAUAAGACUUGAAAAUGAAUAUGUCAACCAAUUUUCACAUUGGCAUAGUAAUUGUCAAUGUCAAGAUUUGACCAGAAGAAACAAUAUGUCACUGGUCUAGUAAGUUGUCGUCGGCUUAUAGAUGUUGUCGUCGUGAAUAAAUUAUUGAAGGAGCCGGACUAGCAGAAUGAACGGUUAAUGUGUAUGAAAUGCGAACGUCUAUUUGAUGAUAUUGAAAGCGCAAUGGAACAUGUUCUUGAACAUGAAGAAAUCCCGGCUAAUGAAGAACUCUUUGACUAUGUGCCCCCGCCUUAUGGAUGUUGUCGUCGUGAUCACCGCAAUAAAUCCUUUUUCGAGCACUUAAUAGCUCCUGGUGAAUGUGUACCUGGUUAUGCUGACUAUAUCGAUUCUCGAAGUGUGCAAACAUUCAGUAUCUCGAGACUUAUUAAAUUCAAGGAGUUUCAGCAACAUGUGACUUAGAGAUUUGGCAUCAGAUGCCAAUCUUUCUGGCAACUUAUAAGGAGCGACACCCCUUGGAACCAAACAUAUCGUUCCAGGCAUCCUUUAAAAGCUGAAAGAAACCACAUGGUGUUUUUCCACUAUUCGAUCAAAGAGCAAUCUGAAACAGGAACCAAAUUUUUCUGUUAAUUUUUACAUCUACAUUAAAACUCAUCUUUUGAAUUUGCACAUUCACAUCAUUUGGGAUGCUUAUACCGCUGCUUUCCAUGAUAACGCACUACGCCUUUUCUUAGAUUUCGAAUUGGGACUCCUCUCACAAAAACACCGGCGGAGGUACUCAGCACCGAAGAUUACCAAUUUAAAACUCCUUCGCUAAUGAAAAACAAGAGAGGGCAGGAUCCGAACCAGUAUUGCGAUUACCAUAAAGAUAACGGCCACACCACAAAUUACCUCGCACCUCGCUAAAGAAUCCUGGACACGAAGAGCAUCAUUGGUUGUUUUCUCCUUUAGAUUUAAAAAAAAA